rnacentral:rRNA from 1 species
AAGCAUGGCCGCAGGCCUACCAUGCAAGUCGAGCGGUAGCACAGAGAGCUUGCUCUCGGGUGACGAGCGGCGGACCGGUGAGUAAUGUCUGGGAAACUGCCUGAUGGAGGGGGAUAACUACUGGAAACGGUAGCUAAUACCGCAUAACGUCGCAAGACCAAAGUGGGGGACCUUCGGGCCUCAUGCCAUCAGAUGUGCCCAGAUGGGAUUAGCUAGUAGGUGGGGUAACGGCUCACCUAGGCGACGAUCCCUAGCUGGUCUGAGAGGAUGACCAGCCACACUGGAACUGAGACACGGUCCAGACUCCUACGGGAGGCAGCAGUGGGGAAUAUUGCACAAUGGGCGCAAGCCUGAUGCAGCCAUGCCGCGUGUGUGAAGAAGGCCUUCGGGUUGUAAAGCACUUUCAGCGGGGAGGAAGGCGUUAAGGUUAAUAACCUUGGCGAUUGACGUUACCCGCAGAAGAAGCACCGGCUAACUCCGUGCCAGCAGCCGCGGUAAUACGGAGGGUGCAAGCGUUAAUCGGAAUUACUGGGCGUAAAGCGCACGCAGGCGGUCUGUCAAGUCGGAUGUGAAAUCCCCGGGCUCAACCUGGGAACUGCAUUCGAAACUGGCAGGCUAGAGUCUUGUAGAGGGGGGUAGAAUUCCAGGUGUAGCGGUGAAAUGCGUAGAGAUCUGGAGGAAUACCGGUGGCGAAGGCGGCCCCCUGGACAAAAACUGACGCUCAGGUG